GACGAACGCUGGCGGCGUGCUUAACACAUGCAAGUCGAACGAUGACGACCGAGCUUGCUCGGUCUGAUUAGUGGCGAACGGGUGAGUAACACGUGAGCAACCUGCCCUUCACUCUGGGAUAACCUCGGGAAAUCGGGGCUAAUACCGGAUAUGAGCUCCUGUCGCAUGGCGGGUGUUGGAAAGUUUUUCGGUGAAGGAUGGGCUCGCGGCCUAUCAGUUUGUUGGUGAGGUAGUGGCUCACCAAGGCGAUGACGGGUAGCCGGCCUGAGAGGGCGACCGGCCACACUGGGACUGAGACACGGCCCAGACUCCUACGGGAGGCAGCAGUGGGGAAUAUUGCACAAUGGGCGAAAGCCUGAUGCAGCGACGCCGCGUGAGGGAUGACGGCCUUCGAGUUGUAAACCUCUUUCAGCAGGGAAGAAGCGAAAGUGACGGUACCUGCAGAAGAAGCGCCGGCUAACUACGUG
rnacentral:rRNA from 1 species